UUAAUCAAGUACUUAACUAGUGUGUUUUGAUUUUCAUUUUGCUUUUUGGGGACACAUAGAAGAGUUUCAGCUAAAAUGAAAGGAAAGGUAUACAAAACUGUGGUGAGACCAGCCAUGUUGUUUGGUCUAGAGCAGGGGUGCUCAUUAAGUCGAUCGCGAUCUACCGGUCGAACGCGGAGGUGGUACUGGUCGAUCGCUGGUCGAUCGCGGCGUGACAUUAAAAAAUAUCAUCCCAGCAUCAAUGCCGUCACUUGAUUGAUAUACAGGGCAGCCAUUCAGAUGACAACUGAAUGUUGCCCUUCGGGCAACCAAUCAAAUCAAACAACGUCUCUAAGUGCAGCAGAACUUACGAUGUCAGCCUAUCAUCCAUCCCUGUUACUUGAUUGACAUACAGGACAACCAGUCAGAUGACAACUGAAUUUUGACCUUUAGGUCACCGCUCAUGCGUAAACAACGAUGCAAAGUGCUAAGCUAGUCGGCGAAUUGCGAGAUUUUAAGCCCUCGCUAAAGUUUAUGGUCACUAAAAUGAGUGAAGGAGCUGGACCAAGUAAAAAGGCAAAAACUGGACCAAGUAAAAAGGCAAAAAACAUAUCACUUCCAUACGGAUAUGGAAUAUUAUACGGAUAUUAUGAUACGGAUAUUAUCCAUGACUGAUAAACAUUUGGAAGUGUGCUUGAGGCUGGCUAACCUAGCAGCUACUGUCCGGACUAUGCAUCCCUGGCUGGUUCAAUUCAGUGCAAGUCAUCAAAGUAAACUCAGGAGCAACUUUAACAAGAGCAACACAAGAAGAGGAGAAGGAAGUCAUGUGAAGUACGCAGUCAUGUAAAGUCAUUCAACAGCUUCUUUUCGUGUGUGGGCGGGGGGACCUCCCACACUCUCAUCAGGGGCCACAGGACCCAAAAAGGGAAGAUACUGCCAGUUUUCCAAGGCUUUUCACCAAAAGUGGUAUGCAAAAUCUUAUUUUUUUCAUCUGGCUUCCACAGCCGGUCCGGCAGGUAGGAGGUUAAAUAAAAUGCUUUGACGUUUUGUCUGAUAAAUCAGCAUAUAAGUUACAGUUAGCCUCUCACAUUGUCUUCACAGCGGGACCAGAGAGAAGACAUUCAGCAUUAAACGGCGGGGCGCCUCUGAUCGAUGCUGUAUUUAAAAGUUUAAUUCACAGCUAAUGUACUUAAACUAUAUUAGCAGUGAGUACACUCCAGUGGCACCCAGCCUCGUCUGAAUGAGAAAUGUAGCAUGUGGAGAUAAUUAAAAGGAAAAUCAAUGUCAAGCAACAUUUUCUAGUGCCACCGCUUUGAAAAUAAAAGUGACGGGUAAAAAGAAAAAAAGAAAAAGGUUUGUACAACUGAACCACGGUGGUGACACGUUUUAUUUUUGCCUUCUUGUAGACACUUUAAUGACCUUUUACGACCGACUGCAUCAACAAAGGUUCCGAUUUCACCCAAAUAUUUGGCUUUGGAGCAGCAAACCACCUAUGAAACCAUGUGAACACGCAACCAGAAAUAGAAAAUAAAUGUUUCAUUGCAGGCCUUUGUUUAGACGAGAUCCUGCUCUAAACUUCCUGGAAUCGUGUAUAAAUAAAUAUUAGAUGUUAUAGACCUUUUCUUUAAAUCAUUUUAUGCAAAGUCUUUUUCUUCCCACAUCUUCUGAGCUCUUCUGUAAAAAGAUCAGACCGAAAAUCUCAUGGACCAAAGGAACUUUUCAGGUUUUCACCCCACACGUCUGCAUACAUUUUCCACAUUUUAGCAUAUUGGGAGCGGCGCUUAUUCCUGCCUCAGCCACUUUCAUUUCCAUGGUUACUUCCUGGGAGAGUGCAUUUGAAAUGACACGCUACUUUUCAGAAAUUCACAUCUGCAAAAAGGCAUCAUCAGAUUUUCUACUCAAAAUGGCAAAAUUGUUUGUUGCUCGGGGUGACGCACAAUAUUGUUAAUGGAAUACAUGAUGUCAUCUGUACACCUUUGGUACAGUAUUGAUAAUGUGGUUACCAUGCUCAUGUCUGGAACCGAUUAACUGCGAUAAACGAGGGAGUUACUAAUAAAGAUUAGCAGAUAUAUAAAUGAUUAUUAUCACUGUAUUGACAAAAUGAUCAAUAUUGUUUGCAAAAUACAAUAUGAUAUCAUCAUGUAGGGACUUACUUACUUCACAAUUCCCAUCCAUAGUAGUUACCAUAAAAUAUCGGCUGAAUAUCGGAUGGUGACUUACUCCGUGAUUCCCACCCUUAGUUACCAAACAUUAUUGCACACUCAAUCAAGAUAAUAUUAUUAUUAUUAACUCUACCAUUGGGUGGUCGAGUGGUUAGAGCGCAGACCUCACAGCUAGGAGACCAGGGUUCAAUUCGAC